AAUUGCGAAAGAAGCAGCUAAGCCUGAGCAUCUGCCCUGGAUCUGCAUGACUGCAAUGUAGGCAGAAGGCUUCAAAAAGACAGUCCCUAUCAGACAGGAGGGAGAAGAGACAAAGAAAUGAGUGAGGUGGAAGGAGACUCCUCUCUUGCUUACUGUGCAGCAGUACUGUCCUCAACAGAGGCACACAGACACUUUCCAUUGACUUCCAGGGGCUUGCAACAUGGCCCAGAAGACAACCUGUAGGUGCACGUUUCUAAGGAGGUGCAAUGACUGGGAUUUGCAUCCAAACAGGAACCCUGCAGAUUUCUUCAAAUCCUGGCGACAAAGAUACAAUGGCAACCAGAAACAUUAUGCUCACAAUACUGAAGAGUGCAAAUGCAUUAGCUCAUGACCUCCGAG